rnacentral:rRNA from 1 species
AACGAACGCUGGCGGCAGGCCUAACACAUGCAAGUCGAACGCUCGUAGCAAUACGGGAGUGGCAGACGGGUGAGUAACACGUGGGAACCUUCCCUAUGGUUCGGAAUAGCUCAGGGAAACUUGGGGUAAUACCGGAUAAGCCCUUCGGGGGAAAGAUUUAUCGCCAUUGGAUGGGCCCGCGUCGGAUUGCUAGUUGGUGGGGUAACGGCCUACCAAGGCGACGAUCCGUAGCUGGUCUGAGAGGAUGAUCAGCCACACUGGGACUGAGACACGGCCCAGACUCCUACGGGAGGCAGCAGUGGGGAAUAUUGGACAAUGGGCGCAAGCCUGAUCCAGCCAUGCCGCGUGAGUGACGAAGGUCUUCGGAUUGUAAAGCUCUUUUGGCGGGGACGAUAAUGACGGUACCCGCAGAAUAAGCCCCGGCUAACUUCGUGCCAGCAGCCGCGGUAA